CUGGCCCUGAUCUGACACACAUGCUGCCUUGCACCUGAGGCUCCUUCUUGGCUUACCAUGAUCCAGGGAGACUCUGGACACAGGAUCCACGUGGGCUCCUUAGUGGGAUGACCUUCCAACACUUAUGCCAAGAGGGCUCCCACCCUCACACACCCUUGUGCCAGCUGCUGGGAUUGCAGUGUGACUCAGAGCUGCUGGAGAAGCUGCAGAGAAACAGAAAAUGUCUCAGGCACGAACUUACUCAGUGGGAAAAAGGAGAUGUUUUCACAUAGCAUGAUAUGUCUGCAAAGUUCAGGAAAUAUUGUCUCACUUUUUGAUGCACACCAACAUCCCUGUCCAGUGCAGAAGCCUCGUGGGAACUUGCUGUGGGCAAGAAAGACACCUGAGGACCCAUUAUCACCUCCUGAAUUUUUGUGUUUGUCUGUGAGAAAAAGUGCCCUUUAUUGUCCUAUCUCAGAAACACCAUCUCAUCAACUGGGAACCAAUUUAGAAUUCUUUUAAUUCAGCAGAUCUUUAGAAUAUAUAUGACACUUCCAGGGAAAAUUAAACCAUGUGGAAGCAAUAAAAGACUGGCAGUUAUGUCUGAUCA
rnacentral:lncRNA from 1 species